GGAAGGGGUGUAUUUAUUAGAUAAAAAACCAAUGCCCUUCGGGGCUCUCUGGUGAUUCAUAAUAACUUAACGAAUCGCAUGGCCUUGUGCCGGCGAUGGAUCAUUCAAAUUUCUGCCCUAUCAACUUCUGAUUGUAUGGUCUUGGCUUACAAUGGUUUCAACGGGUAACGGGGAAUUAGGGUUCUAUUCCGGAGAGGGAGCCCGAGAAACGGCUACCACAUCCAAGGAAGGCAGCAGGCGCGCAAAUUACCCAAUCCCGACACGGGGAGGUAGUGACAAUAAAUACUGAUACAGGGCUCUUUUGGGUCUUGUAAUUGGAAUGAGUACAAUUUAAAUCCCUUAACGAGGAACAAUUGGAGGGCAAGUCUGGUGCCAGCAGCCGCGGUAAUUCCAGCUCCAAUAGCGUAUAUUAAAGUUGUUGCAGUUAAAAAGCUCGUAGUUGAACCUUGGGCCUGGCUGGCCGGUCCGCCUCACCGCGUGCACUGGUCCGGCCGGGCCUUUCCUCCUGGGGAGCCGCAUGUCCUUCACUGGGUGUGUCGGGGAACCAGGACUUUUACA
rnacentral:rRNA from 1 species